rnacentral:lncRNA from 1 species
UUUUUUUUUUUUUUGGGGGGGGGGUAUUUGCCUUUGUUUUAUUGUUAUAAAGUGUCUCUGUACCAGACCUCAGCCUGAGGUGUAAACUUCAUGUCUUCCCAGGUCUUUCUGAGGCUGAGCUGCUCCCUAGGCACGCACAAUGACUUUCUAAAUUCCCUUGUAUGUGUGGUCACUUUUGAAUGACCUAGUCCUUAAAUGUCUGAAUCUCAAAAUGAGGAAAAGAGAUAAAGGGGGAAGGGAGUGCCAGCUCCUUAAAUCUCCUGGAAGCCACUUCAGCUGUAGGGCAAAGGGCUUGAAACAAUGGGAGAGGUGCACCAACGGAGGCUGCUCCUGUGUCUGUACUUUCAGAAGCAGCAAGCAGAAAACAGAGUCCUGAUCUUUGGAGAACAGGGUCUUUAUUCCUCACCUUGGCUCAACUAGCUUUUUAGCUGCUCCUGGAACAAAUGCAUAACUGACUGUCAUUGAGUUGAAGAUGGGGGAUAGGUAACCACUGCUGAAACUGACCAAAACUAACUGCAUUUUCCCAUUCAAGUCUUCUUCAGGAAGUUGCAAGUCUUUGAAUAAACUACACAGAGUUCCAACAUAAUUAAAUCAAUCAGAUUCUGCCAAGACAAUUGUCUAAGCAGAAGACAGAUUUCUGGUGCUUUCUACUCUGUUAUCUUCCUCAAAUCUCAUCACUCUUUUUCUAUCACUGAAUUCCACUUACUAAUGUUUCACUGAGGACUUCUGCAUCUGAAUUCAUGAGCUAUAUUAUUUUGCCAUUUUCCUUUUUUGGAUGGACUUUGUAUGGUUCGGGUAUCAGUAGAAUCCUGGCCUCAUAAAAUCAGUUGGGAAAUCCCUCCUUUUCCUUUUUCUGUCAGAUGUUUAGAAUUUGCUCUGUUAUAUUUGGUGGAAUUCUCCACUGAAAACAUUUGAUGCUUGUUUGGACAUUUUAAUAUUAAAAAUUCAAUUUCUUUAAUAUUUACAGAACUAUACAAAUUAUCUUUCAUAUUGGAUGACUUCUAGAAAUUAGUCCAUUUGUCAAAUUUAUUAUUUUUUUUUAAUUUUUAUUUAUUUGUGAUAGUCACAGAGAGAGAGAGAGAAUGAGGCAGAGACACAGGCAAAGGUUGAGAAGCAGACACCCCACAGGGAACCCGACAUGGGACUCAAUCCCAAACCUCAGGAUCAUGCCCUGAGCCAAAGGCAGAUGCUCAACCACUGUGCUACCCAGGUGUCCCCACCAUCUGCAUUUUAUUUCUUUUCCUCCUUUAUAGAAAUGGCUAGAACAUCCAGUACAACAUUGGAUAGUAGUGAGGUUAUAGGAUGAUCUUGGGGAGGGGGGUCCUGGACUGAGGGGCUUAGUUUUUCACUAGCUGUUGCCAAAAGGCCUCUCUCAGUUCCUUCGCACAGGGGCCUGUCCAUAGGGCACCGCACAAUAUGGCAGCUGACUUCCGUCAGAGUGAGGAAGCAAGGAAGCAAGAGGAGACAGCAAGAGAGGUUGCCCAAGAUGGAAACCAGUCUUUUUUUUUUUACCCUAAUCUCAGAAAUGACAUCCCAUCACCUUUCCUGUUCAUUAGAAACAUCACUAAAUCUGGCUCACACUCAAGGAGAGGAGAUUACACACGGGCCUGAAUACCAGGAGGUGGGACUUGUUAGGGGCCAUUUACCAACUCCCUACAACAAGCUCUCAAUGGCCAAAUCAGGGACAUUUUGAGCAACGUAAUGACACUAACGGGUGAAGCCAAUAGAAUAAAAAUCUAUGAGUCCAUACUGAUAUAAACAAAAAUCUGAAAACAUAAAUUUAAACACUGGGGACAAAAGGGGUGCCUGGCUGGCUCAGUCAGUGAAGCAUACAACUCUUGAUCUCAGGGUCAUGAGUUUAAGCCCCAUGCUGGGUGUAGGAAUUACUUUAAAAUUAAAAAAAGCAUUUAGAAAAUAAUAAGUAAAUAAAUAGUAAAACCGGAGGAGAAAAGACAGCUCUUCCUUACAGCAGCAUUCCACUUAAUAAAUGUAGAAAGAGAACUAGAACUAAAAGCAUAGGUAAACACCACAGUAAUAACUGCUGUAGGCAAGACUGUAAUCUAAAAUUAGUGGAUGGAAGUAGGUAAAUAUACUUCCACACAGUCUCAGCAUUUCUCCCCACAAACUACUUGUUAAUUUAAAAAGAAAAAAAAUUAACUUUAGUUAAAAUAUCAGCCUAACAAACUGAUCAGACUUAAAUUAGUAGUAACACUUA